GUACACGCUGUGACUAGCAUAUCAAUAAGCGGAGGAAAAGAAACUAACAAGGAUUCCCCUAGUAACGGCGAGUGAAGCGGGAAGAGCUCAAAUUUGAAAUCUUAAAGGGUUUCCCUUUACGAAUUGUAGUUUAAAGAAGUGUUUUCUGUUGAGGUUUUGGUAAAAGUUCUUUGGAAUAGGACAUCAUAGAGGGUGAGAAUCCCGUAUUUGACCUUUACUUUCAACUUUGUGAUACACUUUCAAAGAGUCGGAUUGUUUGGGAAUGCAGUCCAAAAUGGGUGGUAAAUUUCAUCUAAAGCUAAAUAUUGGCGAGAGACCGAUAGCGAACAAGUACCGUGAGGGAGAGAUGAAAAGAACUUUGAAAAGAGAGUUAAACAGUACGUGAAAUUGUCAAAAGGGAAGCGUUUGACACCAGUGUUGUUUUUCUGAAAAUCAAUUAAAGAACUGUUUAUGCUAAGCUGUUUAGACUUUAUCAGCUAUCUGUUUAGUUUUGAGCUUUUCUUUAAUGCACUUUUCAGUUAACAAGUCAACAUCAAUUUCUUUUGCUGUAAAAAGCUUGAGGAAGGUGGCUUGAGAUUCGUCUUAAGUGUUUAUAGCCUCUUGCCUAUGCAGUCGGAGAGAUUGAGGUCUGCAGCGUAGAUCCUUCGGGGCUAAAUGCAUUUGUGCUAAGUUAUAGCAUUUUAUAGACAACUUGUUGACUAUGAUUUGUCUUGUAGCUUACUCGCUUAUGUUAUUUUACCUACGCUUAGGAUGUUGAGUCGUAGAGCACGCAG
rnacentral:rRNA from 1 species